GUGGGAGUCAAAGGUGUUACAGCUCCUGGUGUUGCUGGUCUUAAAACAGUUUGAGUAAGGGUGAUGGGCUUGUUGGCUGGAGUCAAAGGAGGAAUAGACAUUUCAAUCAGCAUGGCACAGCAACAGAAUGUUUACAUGGUGGGAGACAAGUUGAACAAGUGGAACCCAUCCUCCGAAGACAAACAUUUUGUUUCCCAAAAGAGUGGCUGAAUGCAGAGAUCUUGGAAGAGGAUGAACACCACUUACUGUUGGCCUUUCCCAGGUCAUGGUAUCUGGAAUAAAAUGUUAAAUUAG